rnacentral:rRNA from 1 species
UACGUAGGGGCGAGCGUUGUCCGGAAUUACUGGGCGUAAAGGGUGCGCAGGUGGCUUGGCAAGUCAGAUGUGAAAUACCGAUGCUUAACAUCGGGGCUGCGUUUGAAACUGCUGAGCUGGAGUGCAGGAGAGGAAAGCGGAAUUCCUAGUGUAGCGGUGAAAUGCAUAGAUAUUAGGAGGAACACCAGUGGCGAAGGCGGCUUUCUGGACUGUAACUGACACUGAGGCACGAAAGCGUGGGGAGCAAACAGGAUUA